rnacentral:rRNA from 1 species
UACGUAGGGCGCACGCGUUGUGCGGAAUUUUUGGGCGUAAAGAGCUCGUAGGCGUCUUGUCACGUCGGGGGUGAAAGCCCGGGGCUUAACCCCGGGUCUGCAUUCGAUACGGGCUGGCUAGAGUGUGGUAGGGGAGAUCGGAAUUCCUGGUGUAGCGGUGAAAUGCGCAGAUAUCAGGAGGAACACCGGUGGCGAAGGCGGAUCUCUGGGCCAUUACUGACGCUGAGGAGCGAAAGCGUGGGGAGCGAACAGG